UCUUAUGGCCACACCACUCUCAACAUGCCCAGUUCUGCCUGAUCUUGGAAGCUAAGCAGGGUCAGGCCUGGUUAGUGCUUGGAUAGGAGAAAACUGGGCUGGAAAGGC
rnacentral:rRNA from 1 species